rnacentral:rRNA from 1 species
CCUACGGGAGGCAGCAGUGGGGAAUAUUGCACAAUGGGGGGAACCCUGAUGCAGCGACGCCGCGUGGGUGAGGAAGUACUUCGGUAUGUAAAGCCCUAUCAGCAGGGAAGAAAAUGACGGUACCUGACUAAGAAGCCCCGGCGAACUACGUGCCAGAAGCCGCGGUCAUACGUAGGGGGCAAGCGUUAUCCGGAUUUACUGGGGGUAAAGGGUGCGUAGGCGGCGUGCCAAGUCAGUUGUGAAAGGGCGGGGCUCAACCCCGGGACUGCAUUGGAAACUGGCAGGCUGGAGUGCCGGAGGGGCAAGCGGAAUUCGUAGUGUAGCGGUGAAAUGCGUAGAUAUUAGGAGGAACACCGGUGGCGAAGGCAGCUUGCUGGACGGUAACUGACGUUGAGGCUCGAAAGCGUGGGGAGCAAACAGGAUUAGAUACCCCAGUAGUC